rnacentral:rRNA from 1 species
GCAUAUCAAUAAGCGGAGGAAAAGAAACCAACAGGGAUUACCUUAGUAACGGCGAGUGAAGCGGUAAAUGCUCAAAUUUGAAAGCUGCCAACAGGCCGCGUUGUAAUUUGUAGAAGAUGCUUUGGGUGUCGGCCCAGUCUAAGUUCCUUGGAACAGGACGUCAUAGAGGGUGAGAAUCCCGUAUGUGAUUGGUGCCGUCCCCCGUGUAAAGCUCUUUCGACGAGUCGAGUUGUUUGGGAAUGCAGCUCAAAAUGGGUGGUAAAUUUCAUCUAAAGCUAAAUAUUGGCCAGAGACCGAUAGCGCACAAGUAGAGUGAUCGAAAGAUGAAAAGCACUUUGGAAAGAGAGUUAAACAGUACGUGAAAUUGUUGAAAGGGAAGCGCUUGCAAUCAGACUUGCAGGCGGUCGAUCAUCCGAGGUUCUCCCCGGUGCACUCGAUCGUCUUCAGGCCAGCAUCGGUUUCCGUGGUGGGAUAAAGGCUGUGAGAACGUAGCUCUUCGGAGUGUUAUAGCUCACGGUGCAAUGCCGCCUACGGGGACCGAGGACCGCGCUUCGGCUAGGAUGCUGGCGUAAUGGUUGUAAGCGACCCGUCUUGAAACACGGACCAAGGAGUCUAACAUCUAUGCGAGUGUUUGGGUGUCAAACCCAUACGCGUAAUGAAAGUGAACGGAGGUGAGAACCCUUUAGGGCGCAUCAUCGACCGAUCCUGAUGUCUUCGGAUGGAUUUGAGUAAGAGCAUAGCUGUUGGGACCCGAAAGAUGGUGAACUAUGCGUGAAUAGGGUGAAGCCAGAGGAAACUCUGGUGGAGGCUCGCAGCGGUUCUGACGUGCAAAUCGAUCGUCAAAUUUGCGUAUAGGGGCGAAAGACUAAUCGAACCAUCUAGUAGCUGGUUCCUGCCGAA